rnacentral:rRNA from 1 species
AGAGUUUGAUCCUGGCUCAGGACGAACGCUGGCGGCGUGCUUAACACAUGCAAGUCACGGGGGUCCCGCAAGGGAUAACCGGCGAACGGGUGCGUAACACGUGAACAACCUGCCCUCGUGUGGGGGAUAGCCGGGCUAACGCCCGGGUAAUACCGCAUACGUUCUCUUUGGGGAGUCCCGAGGAGAGGAAAGCUCCGGCGCACGGGGAGGGGUUCGCGGCCUAUCAGCUAGUUGGCGAGGUAACGGCUCACCAAGGCGACGACGGGUAGCUGGUCUGAGAGGAUGGCCAGCCACAUUGGGACUGAGAGACGGCCCAGACUCCUACGGGAGGCAGCAGUGGGGAAUCUUGCGCAAUGGUCUAACGACUGACGCAGCGACGCCGCGUGUGGGAGGACGCCUUUCGGGGUGUAAACCACUGUUGCCCGGGACGAACAGCCCUUUUCGAGGGGUCUGACGGUACCGGGUGAGGAAGCACCGGCUAACUCCGUGCCAGCAGCCGCGGUAAUACGGAGGGUGCGAGCGUUGUCCGGAAUCAUUGGGCGUAAAGGGCGCGUAGGUGGCCCGGUCAGCGUGCGGUGAAAGCUCGGGGCUCAACCCCGAGUCGGCCGUGCGAACUACUGGGCUGGAGCACUGUAGAGGCAGGCGGAAUUCCGGGUGUAGCGGUGGAAUGCGUAGAAAUCCGGAAGAACACCGGUGGCGAAGGCGGCCUGCUGGGCAGUUGCUGACACUGAGGCGCGACAGCGUGGGGAGCAAACAGGAUUAGAUACCCUGGUAGUCCACGCCGUAAACGAUGGGCACUAGGCGCUUGGGGGAGCGACCCCCCGAGGGCCGGCGCUAACGCAUUAAGUGCCCCGCCUGGGGAGUACGGCCGCAAGGCUGAAACUCAAAUGAGUUGACGG